CCGGCAAACUCCAAAGCCACAAAAUAGAAGACUUUUGUUUGAUGUUGAACUACAUAUACCUCCCCGUGCACAAACCCUUGUCUUAACUUUAUUAACUACUAGAAAUAGUUUACACUAAAACUGCCCCCGGCUAAUUAUGGUGUACUGUUACUGAAAAUGAUCAUGCCUUAUGGUUUACAAAUAUUAGUACGACAAAAUGUUAUGACUCCUUUCUUUCAACACGCUUAGACAAAUGGACAAAUUAAACUUUAAAAUUCAAACAGUAACCACUUGUAACUUGAUCCAUAUCCUUGUCACUUGCCAACAACAGUGAAAUUGAUAAAACAUUUCAAAUCUUGCUCGUGACCCUUGUACCAAAACGAAUAAGUAAUUUUAUGUGGGCCCAAGGUAAAAUUCGAUGGGGAAGUACGUGGUGGAUUGACCUCCUUCCUCAUAUAUUCAGUGCAUGUCACUUCUGGUUCUGGCCACCUAACCAGUGCCGUCUGUUC